rnacentral:rRNA from 1 species
AACGAACGCUGGCGGCGUGGAUUAGGCAUGCAAGUCGAGCGGUAUCUAACGAAGCUUGCUUUGUUAGAGAGAGCGGCGAACGGGUGAGGAACACUUGGGUAACCUGCCUUUAAGUUCGGGAUAGCUUCGGGAAACUGGAGGUAAUACCGGAUGUGGUCGUCCUAUUAAUUAGGACUGUCUAAAGGGGGCUUCGGCUCUCGCUUAGAGAUGGGCCCGGUCCUAUCAGCUUGUUGGUGAGGUAACGGCUCACCAAGGCAAUGACGGGUAGCUGGUCUGAGAGGAUGGUCAGCCACACUGGGACUGAGACACUGCCCAGACUCCUACGGGACUGCAGUCGAGAA